GACUGGGUAGUAUAGCGGUUAGUACUAGCGGUUCUGAUUUGUAUCUGAUUCCGCUCAACCCGGGUUCGAAUCCCGGCCUGGUCU